rnacentral:lncRNA from 1 species
CUUUUUAAAGUUUAAUUUGCAAAAAGGUUACUUUGAAAUUAAGACAUUCAAUUUAAAGACAGUUUGAAGUUUUCCCAUGGAGAGAAACCUUAACUAGAUCGAUUAUGUCAGAGUAAUCUAUGUAUGUUGUCGUAAGUUUGUUUCUGUAGGGUGUGUGGAAUUUAAACUAUCAGUUUCUAAAUUUUCAGGAGUCAGAGAGGUCACACAUGCUUGUUGUUAUGCUCCUCAAGUUCCCAGCCAAACGUGCUGGCAGAAUAAAGCGUUCCCAAGUGUUUCAGCACUGCAGAGAUCCUCUAUUGAGUCUUGUUCCUUCAGCUUGCACUUUUCACAGGGGAAAAGCUCUGUGUUGCUCCAUGAGAUGACAGUGCAAAUGUAUGUUGUGGACUUGUUCUAAGUCAUACAGAUGUGAGCAUUUCUCCAUGAAACCAGAGCUGGAUGCUGAAAUAUCCUGGGCGGACUGUGCAGUAAUAAAACCUGUAAUAUACAUAUUAGGGAUACAUGCAGUGGUACUGGGAAGACCUGGAUAUUUCAUGUCCUUGCUCCAUUUGGACUUCUUCAGUUUGCUUCUUGUCUGUACAUCAAACCUGGUGUAUUCUAAUGGUGUCCACCCUCGACCUCAUUUUGAGCUGACGUUCAGACACAUGAGGCUGGCUAGGGAGCAUUUGCUGCACAGGGGCUGGGCGAGCCACAACAGGCUGGAUUUGAACGAGAGAAGUAAAAAUGAAAAUUACACCAGUGUGAUUUUGGACAUCUCGGUCUGUCAUCUUGUGAACCUUUGGGGAAGAACAAAGGAUGUGAAGGACAUCUGA